CACCGCCCGUCACACCAUGGAAGUUGAUUGCACCAGAAGCCGGUAGCUUAACCGCAAGGAGAGCGCCGCCCACGGUGUGGUCAAUGACUGGGGUG
rnacentral:rRNA from 1 species